rnacentral:rRNA from 1 species
ACCGUGGCGACGAUGCGUAGGGGUUCUGAGAGGAAGGUCCCCCACACUGGUACUGAGACACGGACCAGACUCCUACGGGAGGCAGCAGUGAGGAAUAUUGGUCAAUGGGAGAGAUCCUGAACCAGCCAAGCCGCGUGAGGGAAGACGGCCCUAUGGGUUGUAAACCUCUUUUGUCGGAGAACAAAACCCGGGACGAGUCCCGGACUGCGUGUAUCCGAAGAAAAAGCAUCGGCUAACUCCGUGCCAGCAGCCGCGGUAAUACGGAGGAUGCGAGCGUUAUCCGGAUUUAUUGGGUUUAAAGGGUGCGUAGGCGGUCCGUUAAGUCAGCGGUAAAAUUGCGGGGCUCAACCCCGUCGAGCCGUUGAAACUGGCAGACUUGAGUUGGCGAGAAGUACGCGGAAUGCGCGGUGUAGCGGUGAAAUGCAUAGAUAUCGCGCAGAACUCCGAUUGCGAAGGCAGCGUACCGGCGCCACACUGACGCUGAGGCACGAAAGCGUGGGGAUCGAACAGGAUUAGAUACCCUGGUAGUCCACGCAGUAAACGAUGAAUGCUGGUUGUCCGGGUCGAAUGAGAUCUGGGCGGCGA